GGUCACUCACGUGAGCACCGCGUCACGGGAGCUAGGCCACCACCACCCCCUUCCCGCCCACCUCACCAUCCAUCCCCGAGGGACCAGGAGGUUGCGGAAGUAAACACCGAUGACUCCCAGAUCUACAGCUCCAGGCUGUUCCCUUCUCCGUGUCUCAUAUCAGCUUUGCCAACUGUUUAUUGGACAUCACCGCCUGAGUAUCCCUGAGGGACACGAUUAUCCUGUUUGGAGUGUAUUGAACUUCUUGGAUACAUCGAUUAGUGUCUUUCCUCAAGUUUGAGUAAUUUGCAGUCAUUUUUCCUUUGAAAAUUCUUUCUUCUCUAUUCUGUUUCUCUCCUUGUUGAACCCCCAUCAUGCAUAGGUGUGCUCUGUUCAUUUUUCACAUUACUUUUAUUUUUCUGCUCCUCGGACUGAAUAAUCUCAAUUGACCUAUUUUAAGUUCACUGAUUCUUUUGCCUGCCCAAACCUACUGUUGUACCCCUCUAGUGACUUUUAGUUAUUGUACUUUUCAAAUAAAGAAUUUCUAUUUAUUUUAUAAUUUCUACAUCUCUUUGUAUUUUUACAUCUUUACUGAUAUUGUGUAUUUGCUGAGACAUUCUUCUCUUUUUCUUUAGUCCUUUGUUUACGAUUUCCUUUAGUUCUUCGAGCAUAUAUAAG
rnacentral:lncRNA from 10 species